ensembl:snoRNA
AGCCUGUGAUGUUUUCAUUUUAAGAGUAGUGGACAGAAGUGAUUUCUGAAAACUCCAUCCUGAGGCU